ACCAGUGCCAACCGAAAUCGCUCGGAGUGCCUGGAGAACUGGAACUAAUAGCAGCAGCGCCGAAGGAAAAGAUCCCGGAGACGGUAGUCUGUUAAAGUGUAAUAGUGAUUAAGAUGAUUCGACAAGAACAUAGUGGAAAUGGAGGUUUAGGCUCGCCCAGGAAAACAUCAAUAAUUCAUAGUGGUUAUUGUACUUCCAGUUGAAAACCGAACCACUGGUACCAAUCGGAUCACCAAUCCCAUCGUUGAGGAGCGAUUCUGCUGUUGCGCCAGGAGUAGGGACUCUUGGAGGUGCGGCUACAAUAACACAAAAGCAGAAAAACAUCGAAAUGGAAUCCGGUUUGAUGGGCUUCUGUGCUAUACCGGCGGUUGGAGGUGGCUCUGAAAUUGAUGAACCAAGCGAGAAGACAGCGCCAUGGCUGCUGCCAAUUAUGCUAAAUCUCGAUGGCAACAGCAAAAAUAAGGGUAAAGUAUAUUAUAUUACGCCAUCCGGGAAGAAAAUGCGCACUCCACUACUCUUUGCAUUCAUCGCCACGGCAUUGACGGCAUAUCGAUCAGUGUGGUAUGAAAAACCGAGAAAUAAAGAACAGUCCUGCAUCGUUAUUCGGAAGUCGGUGCCAGGAGUAGACGAAGUACCUGUUGCGAAUAGUUUAAACCCGUCCGAUACUCCAGCACAGAUCGAAAUCGUCUCUUUCAUCACCGUCAACUGCAAUCUUGAUCAGUCACCUUGUAAGACCUAGCUGAAAAUAUAGAAGAUUGAUAGCCCCGGAUAGCCUACCAGCGAGACAGAAAAAAAAACUAGGGUGCCGUUGAUCGGGAAGCAGGAAGACAAUGGUGACGAAAUAGUGUGCUGUCGGUAUAAGGAAGAAGCCGAGGCUGCCAAAAAGGAAUAUGUACCGAAAAGUAUUAGUGGCAUACGGAGCGAGUUUAGUGUCUAAGGGACGGAGAACUAUCCCAGUAGCAGCCAAUGUACUCAACAACCACACCGCCACAGCGGCAUUCCAUCCAUAAGCAGAAUAAACAUCUGGUGAACCACUCGUAACCAUCACCCCUAGUAUGUUUAACCGGGUGAGCCCCCACAUGGCAAUGCCGGGCUAAGGAGGUCAGAUGCCGUCGCAGCUGAAAAGCUAUCCACCACCAUACGUCUCAUCGUACAAAUCGCCGCAGCAGACCAUGAUGUAAAUGCAACUACCGAUGCAUCCGGGCAAGCACCACACCAUUUGUAGAUGAACCCGAUAUUGCCACCACACAGUAGCAACAGCAGCAGCAAAUGAUGGUCCAGUAGCAGCAGAUGGGAAUGUCAUAGCAGCAGGAACAUCAAAAUUACCUUACCACUGCAAACAUGAACGGAAUGAUGAAUACGGGCACGAUCCUACCGCAAUCACACUACAUUAUUCAACACAAUCGGCAACAAAUACAACAACACCUUCAGGUUUCUGACCAUUCGACGCAGCAGCGGCAGCAGCAACAACCGGUUGGUCACAUGACUCCCUAUCAGGUUGCUUCUCCGCUCUCCGGCAGCCCACCGCUGCAGCACGUCGCUCCCCAGCAAUGUAUACGGCACGGAUGACAAAACCUGGGAAUCGUUAGUUUCGAGGGAAGAUGAGUACUGUAGUAACGAAUGCGUCAUCACACACUCCCUGGAUGUAUUCGACAAGAGGAAUCAAACCAACAACUCGCACGACAUGCUCCCAUUCAUUCAUUUUUUUUUUUUCGUUGAGGCGAGAAACCGUCUACUAAUUGAACUUUUGUGGUGAACCCCUAUUUAAUAUGUCGCAUCAAAUCAGAUGGCAAAUUAAUAAUUAAUGAUAACUAGCUAGGCAUCUUGACGCGUCCUCUCCCAGUCAUGUGAGAUGGUAUUGAUAUAAUCAACUACCCUUUUGAGAUUUGCUGCUAAAUCUCUUCAGGUUGCAUGUAGGGGAAAGUGAGGCAAGAUCGCCAUAUGGGGCAAGACAGCCAACGUUGAUUAUGACUUAAGUGAGUAUUAUAUUCACAUUAUUAAUACGAGGGAUGGUUUACAAUAUUGUAAAAGAACUAUACAACUAAAAAACGCAAUUGAACAACCUCACUUGUUCUUGAAAUAUUAAUUUUAAGAUGGUGUAGUUGAAAUUCGAAUUUUCUUAUAAUUUUGUAGUUAGGUUAGUUUAGGUUAGGUUAUUUACCAAGGCUUUUAUAUAACUAUACCUUUCAAUUCAUUUAAAAAAAUCAUCAAAAUAGUUUCUGCCUGAAUCAGAGAUGAUUUGAAUAACUGAUAUGGUUUUAAUCGUAAAAAUUAGCUUUAGGAAAAUUCAGAUAUCGUCGUAGAGCCAGAGGUCAACAAAUUAACAUGAAAUACGACAUUUUCAAGCGAAACAUCAUCUGAACAUAAUCCGUAGAAGCAGGGUCGGAUUUAGCGGGGGGCCGGCGGAAUACACUAUUUGAACGCU